rnacentral:rRNA from 1 species
UACGUAGGGACCAAGCGUUGUCCGGAUUUAUUGGGCGUAAAGAGCUCGUAGGCGGCCCUCCACGUCGGAUGUGAAAGCUCGCGGCUCAACCGCGAGAUGCCAUUCGAUACGGGAAGGCUAGAGGUAGGUAGGGGAAAGUGGAAUUCCUGGUGUAGCGGUGGAAUGCGCAGAUAUCGGGAGGAACACCCGUAGCGAAGGCGGUUCUCUGGGCCAAUACUGACGCUGAGGCACGAAAGCGUGGGUAGCAAACAGG